GGCCCAUUCAUCUAGCGGUCUAGGAUGCAGCCCUUUCAAGGCUGACACAGGGGUUCGAGUCCCCUAUGGGCCA
rnacentral:tRNA from 1 species